rnacentral:rRNA from 1 species
UACGUCCACACCUUUUAGGUGUGGGCCAGUUGGCUGUCAUACUUCCAAGAAAAGCUCGAACUACUGUAAAGCAUCAAAUACCUGUACCGUAAACCGACACAGGUGGGUUGGUAGAGUAUACCAAGGGGCGCGAGAUAACUCUCUCUAAGGAACUCGGCAAAAUGACCCCGUAACUUCGGGAGAAGGGGUGCCAAGUAACUAAAAUUGCUUGGUCGCAGUGACCAGGCCCUGGCGACUGUUUAUCAAAAACACAGGUCUCCGCAAAGUCGUAAGACAACAUAUGGGGGCUGACGCCUGCCCAGUGCCGGAAGGUUAAAGAAGUUGGUUAUUCAUUCGUGGAGAAGCUGACGACUGAAGCCCCGGUGAACGGCGGCCGUAACAAUAACGGUCCUAAGGUAUCGAAAUUCCUUGUCGGGUAAGUUCCGACCCGCACGAAAGGCGUAACGAUCAGGGCACUGUCUCGGAGAGAGACUCGGUGAAAUAGACAUGUCUGUGAAGAUGCGGACUACCUGCACCUGGACAGAAAGACCCUAUGAAGCUUGACUGUAGCCUGGAAUUGGGUUCGGGCUCUUCUUGCGCAGCCUAGGUGGGAGGCGUUGAAAGCUUUCUUUUGGGAAAGCUGGAGCCAUCAGUGAGAGACCACUCUGGAGGAGCUAGAAUUCUAAUGGCGUUCCUUGAAGCAGGACGCUUGACAGUUUCAGGUGGGCAGUUUGACUGGGGCGGUCACCUCCUAAAAGGUAACGGAGGUGUGCAAAGGUUCCCUCAGGCUGGACGGAAAUCAGCCGUAGAGUGUAAAGGCAGAAGGGAGCUUGACUGCAAGACCUACAAGUUGAGCAGAGGCGAAAGCCGGCCUUAGUGAUCCGACGGUUCCAUGUGGAAGGGCCGUCGCUCAACGGAUAAAAGUUACUCUAGGAUAACAGGCUGAUCUUCCCCAAGAGUUCACAUCGACGGGAAGGUUUGGCACCUCGAUGUCGGCUCAUCGCAACCUGGGGCGGUAGUACGUCCCAAGGGUUGGGUUGUUCGCCCAUGAAAGCGGUACGUGAGCUGGGUUCAGAACGUCGUGAGACAGUUCGGUCCAUAUCCGGUGUAGGCGUUAGAGCAUUGAGAGGAGCCUUCCAUAGUACGAGAGGACCUGGAAGGACGCACCUCUGGUAUACCAGUUAUCAUGCCAAUGGUGCACGCUGGGUAGCCAUGUGCGGAGUGGAUAACCGCUGAAAGCGUCUAAGUGGGAAGCCCACCUCAAGAUGAGUGCUCUCCAUCAGGUCACAGGAAGACAACCUGUUUGAUAGGCAGAAGGUGUAAGGCUAGUAAUAGUUUCAGCUGAUCUGUACUAAUAGACC